CACCUAUCUUACCAUAACAUAAAGUCCUCUCUCUCUCUCUCUCUCUAAAUCUCUCUCAUUCUAAUUCUUUUCUCUUUGACCCUCUUGAAAUAGAGAAGGCAGAAAAAAGGUCUCAAAGAUGAAACCAAAAGACAAGUUUGCUAAAGGUUCCUAUAAGGGCUAUCUCAAAUUGCAUGUGGCUAGCAGAGUUAAAGUCAGCACCAUGGUCAACCCUUUGAGAAUUGGGAGCAGUGAGGAAAAAGAAGCCAUUAGUGGCUCUGAAAUUGGAGCUGCUGCUGACAGUUCUUCCCCUGCAGGAAUGGCAGGUUCAUUCUAAUUGGGUGCUAUCCUAUCUGAGCUUUUAUCAUCGUCUUCUUCUCCCUUCUUCAUCUAAUUUCUACCACCGCGCUUCUCUGUCUUCUUUUUUCCUUGUUUCCCCCUCCGGUCUUCUUGACCUUGUAAGACCUUUUCUUGACCUUGUAAGACCUCACGCCGUGUCUGUUUUCUUCAUUUUUGCUUUUGUGGAAGACCCUAUGUCAGAAACCACUGACAUAGGGUUUGAUCUUCGUCUUUCCCCGUUACCGUCCAACUCAUCCUCUCCUUCCUUGUCUAUCCCUCCUGAGCUAUUUCAAUUUUGGCCAAGCAUGCCACAAUAUUAUGUGAAAUGUGCUGCCAAUUUGAGACCAUGACUACUUCAAACUACAAUUGGGUUAUUUUCUAUUUGAAUUUUUGUUCUCUUAUUAUAUGAGAAAUGUAGUUUGUGAAGCAUGCUUCAUAGUGGUCCUUAAGGUAGGUUACGCCAGAGAUAAUAAAUUGAUGUUUGUUGUAUUCAUAUGAAUUCAAAAGCCAGCAAUAUUCUGUAUCUUGUUCUGUUAAGGCAAUCAAUUUGGGUUUGUAUUA